GGACACAGUUAAUUUGUGCUCGAACAUCUCGUCAUUCGUGUAGAUGCCAGUCCAGGCUAUGAAAGCUCCCACCCUGAACAUGUCCGAAGGCCGUUGCACAUCCAGGCCAACACUCGGCAGGUGACAUUGGUGCAACCGCCGUCGUGCUUAGCUCUUCGGCCUUGGCAUGGCCCGAAGCAAGCAGCCAAUACUUAUACACCAUUGCAGCAAAGUCAAACCAAUUUUCAUAUUUGUCUGCUACUAAAACAGGGCAAAUUCUCCGUUUCUCCUAAUGAUUAACCAAAUUUGUUUCUCAUGGGGGCAAUCUCACCAUUUUACCCGGUUUUACACAUUAUAUGGACUCUAACGUGCAAAACUUCGUGACAGCUAGACAACAUGGGUUAAACAGAUUAUUUGACGGAGUUAAUUACACGUGUUUCUUGAAUUUGGAAUUACAGUUGUCUGAAUAUUGGAAAGAAAUCAAAUUGGGGAAAAAGAUGAACUUAUUAGGGCUGAACUGAGCUGCUGGUCGAAGUUCGACUUGCUGGUAUUUGGAAUUACUGUUGUCUGAAUAUUGGAAAGAAAUCAAAUUGGGAAAAAAAGAUGAACUUAGGGCUGAACUGAGCUGCUGGUCGAAGUUCGACUUGCUGGUAGUUUGACGAAGAUUGUGGAGUCGAAGACACUGACGGAGGUGAGUCCCUUAUGUAGAUUUGAAUUGAUUGUCGUGUUUUUUGAGAUUAUGAAUUGUUAGAUUUGCAUUUCCUUUCUCAUGAAAUUGAAUUGAAAUCGAAAUGAACUGCGUAGAAAUUGAAUUGAAAUCGAAAUGAAUUCGCCUGUAAUUAUUGGCUAAAACUGAGUUCAAAUCGAAUAAACUGAGCUGCUGAAAAAAUGAGUUCAAACAAUAAAUUAGCCUUUUGAGUUCAAUUCGAAAUGAACUGAGCUGCUAUUCGAAAUGAAUUGCUGAAAAAAUGAGUUGAAAAUUAAUUUAGCUUGUAUGAAAUCCCCGUUCAUUGUUUACCUAACUUUGAAGUGUUUGUUUCGUUAAUAUAAAUGUUCAAUGGACCUGGAUUGAGGAAUAAUAAUUUGAAUUAUUAAUUGAAAUGUCAAUAAUUAACGGAAUAUUGGAGAGCUGUUGUUGUGGAAUUGGUUCAUUUGGAGAAACCCUCAUUUGCACUAGUGUAUUAUUAUUUUAUCAUACAAUUCGACACAAUAUUGUACAUGAACCUCUAAAUGUCUUCUGAAGUAAAGUGUAAGCGCAGAAGAACAAUUUGUGACAAAAAUGAGGUGAGUACCCUAUGUCAUCUUAGUUUAUUUAUGGUAUAAUAUAGAUUGGACAAAAAGGAGAUGCAUUUGCUCGAACCAUGCAGGUUGGCUCAGUUGAGGAGGGGGGAUAUAUAUUGAAGAAAAGGGUAUUAGAAACAUCGAAAUCCAAGAAGAAAACAAUAACCUUUUACCCGGGAAUUUUUAAGGAUGAUAGUUUAACUUAUGGCGGAGGUUGUAACGGAACACUCAAAGGGGAGUAGAUGGCCUGCCCACAUGAGUUGUCGGAUUGAGUCAUUUGGUUAGAUUUGUGGGAAAUUUGAUGAUAGGAGAAAACGCUGGGUGUAUGAGAUGGGUUUUGGUGGUCUAUUACACCUGUCAUAUGAUAUGCAAUUACCGAGGCUGUUGUCGUAUUGGGUGAUGACUCGUAUAGAUCCGAUAAGUAAAAUGUUCAUAACCCCAGAUGGUGUUGAGUUUAGGUUUUCUAAGAAACAAGUUCGAUGGGAUUUAGGGAUACCAAUGGUUUCAAAGACUGUUUCUUCGACAAAAACAAUGACUUUUGCGGAUCGUGAAAAGGUUCAGAGAAAUUUAUUGAAGUAUGGGAAGUCAUGGGAGUCCACUGGACAAUGUGGUCGUGUUUACACGUCGGUUGGGAUACCAUUGAAUUUGGAAAUGAUGGAUCGAUUAGAGGGGCACUUUGAUCCGGAAGAGGAAGAAGAAUUCAAGACGCUUUUCUUGAUAGUUGCUUAAGAGAGGGUGUUGUGCCCUACACAGUCACCUCGUCUUGCGGCUGAUUUAUUGGCAAUUGAGUAUGACUGGUGUGGUUUAGUGUUGUCUAAAUUCAUGGGGAGUAUUUCUAGUAUUGCCCGGCGUUUUUAUGCUCAUGGGUUUGCGAGUGGAUGUGGUUGGUAUGCUAUAUUUGCCGUUAUUUUUUACCUAGACCGUUUGGCUAGAGAUCCUGUUGAAUGGGAAGCUUUCCCUAGACUGAAGGUAUGGAAUAUGCAGCAGAUUCGAGAUGCAUCGAAGUUGGACAAAUUAGUGACAGGGGACUAUGGGAGGUUAAGGUUAUAGGUAUUGGGCGUUGCCUAUGGCGAACAACACCCAAGGGAGGCACGGGACAGUGUAGCACCCAAGGAUGAGUUUCAUGUAAGUGUUGUAGAUGCAACCAAUUGCUGUGCUGAUGCGUUAUGGCUAAAAUAUUGUUUUUGUUUUGUUGCAAAGUUGGUAGCAGGACCUGCUAUCUCCAAGUCGAAGGUUAGGGAAAGGAGGGAAGUCAAAAGAAAUUUACAAUUAGCAUUAUCAUUACCAUUUGUAUUAGCAAUGAGUUAUAAGCAUUUUUUAAUAAUAAACUGUUGUAUUAUUUUGGAAAAACAUUGAUCUGUAUUCAUGAUCUUCUAAUAAUUUAUUUUCUGA